rnacentral:lncRNA from 1 species
AUUUCCACAACCCAAUCUUACCUCGACCUUAUUAGCAGGCCCCAAAAAAAAUCUUUCAAUUAUGGACCUGAAUGACAUUCUGAGUCAUAAAUGUCCAAAGGUCAGUCUAUUAGGUCCAAUCAGGAAAACCAUCCAUGUCCACACUGUAAACAGUUAAGGAUAAUUGUCGAGAACUAAAGGAUGUCCUUCCUGUCAGCAUUUCAAACAACCUGUCCAUUUGUUCAUGAUUGUCGAGAACUAAAGGAUGUCCUUCCUGUCAGCAUUUCAAACAAACUGUCCAUUUAUUCAUGAUUGGCUUCAGGAAAACAGUACAGAAACUAGAGGUAUAUGAUUCAAAGUUGAAGUGUGUAUCAAAGAACUUUAAAACUAGAGUAGAUUCUCAAACUAAAAGCAUAGCUUACUCCUUGAUAAGAAAGAGAUAGAAAGGGCAGAAAAUGAAAAGAUCACGUAUACAUCUAUACCUUUUCUUCUCCUCUUCCUCAAUUUUAAUUUUUUCACUGAGAUCCUUUUGCUUUUUCGAUCCGAUACGUGAAGCAGGUGAUUUACCAAUAGGAGACAAUGAUAUACUCCUACUUCUUUUUUGUCUCCCAUAGUUCAUUGGAGAGCGACUUCUAUGUUGUCUGGUGGCUGGAGAACGACUUUUGCGGCGCCUUGGGGACAGUGAACGACUCCGUUUUCUGUAUAACAACGCAUAAUAUUUAAGCAACAACAUAUAUUGGCAGCAGAAAUCAUAAAAUCCACAGACAUGCUAACCCGUCUUCCAAAUCAGUUAGAUACUAAAGCAUGUACAGUUACCUCAUGAAUUGCAAAGAAUAUACUUGAGCUCCAUCUUUUAUCAUAGGGAACUGCUAAUAUCACAAUUGAGCAACCAAUGGACACUCAUCGGCACCCAUGACCUGCUUGCCUCCCAUGAAGGGAAGCAAUUACUUCUUUUAAUUCCACAUUGAAGAACGUAGUUUGUACCGGGUAUUUCAUUUAGGUUUCUAUUUAUUAACUCUACUCAUUAGGAUCAUGCACAUCUUCAGAAUAGUAGACAAUUUCCAGAUGGCAGCCAGACCAAGGACUAAAUUUGCAACUGAACAGCGACACCACCAGAUCAGGAUAUGAGAUAAUACAUAGACAACCACAAGGAUAUCAAUUAUGGUGAUUACAAGUAUUGAAAACUCUUACUAGCAGCAACAACUCAACUUGACAAGUACAUAACUUUUUCGUGGACAUCUGGUAACUCAUAUAAUAGAAGGCUAGUGAACUUUGGUGAGAAAAUA